rnacentral:rRNA from 1 species
CUCGUAGGUGGCUUGGUAAGUCGGGUGUGAAACCUCCAGGCUCAACCUGGAGUCGCCACUCGAUACUGUCAUGGCUAGAGUCCGGUAGGGGACCAUGGAAUUCCUGGUGUAGCGGUGAAAUGCGCAGAUAUCAGGAGGAACACCAGUAGCGAAGGCGGUGGUCUGGGCCGGUACUGACACUGAGGAGCGAAAGCGUGGGGAGCGAACAGGAUUAGAUACCCUGGUAGUCCACGCCGUAAACGUUGGGCACUAGGUGUGGGUCCCUAUCGACGGGAUCCGUGCCGCAGCUAACGCAUUAAGUGCCCCGCCUGGGGAGUACGGCCGCAAGGCUAAA